UCGGACGUGGUGUACGGAGCACACUCGCUCUUGCUAUAAGGCAUCGAAAGAAUGCAGCGAGUGCUCGGGGUUCGACUCCCCGCGUCUGAA